AUGGAGGCAUUUUCUCAACUGAGGCUCCUUAUUAUGAUAACUUCAGCUUUGUGUCAAAUUAACACACAAAACGAGUCAGUACGGUGAAAAAUCACAUAGUUCAGAUCCCUCAGUGCAAGGAAUGAAUGAAAGGUGUUCACUUGAACAAGACUACUGAGUACAUUGCUAACUUAAAGAUGAAACCCUGUCAAUCCUAAUAUCUACAGCCAUGAUCCAAGGGUGCUACUUUAGAGGAGAAAAUUCUCAUGCAUCUAGAUGCCUAGGGAAUGCCAAGUACAUUCACUCAACAAGGGAAACUGGGAGCUUGCAAAGAGGUCUUUAAGAGAGAAACACUGUACAGGAGCCCUGAUGCCUGUAGCCUGCUCUUUGCAUUCUUGAUCCUCUUCUCUUUGAAACUCCUGGCAACAAGUACAAUCCCACACUGAAACAAAUACCAGAGAGAAAUUAGGGCUGGAGUUUGUGCUUUUCUGUCAUAGCACAAAGAAUUAGAUCUUCAAAAAGAUAUGGGGCAUUCUUAUGUAUUCUGACAAAAAGGAAUAUUGGCUAUUUAACAUCAAGAUAUAAUGUGUUAGGAGGCUGACAAGACACAUGAAUGAACCCACCCUAGAGCCAGGACUCUUAAAUGUGACUAAAUAGGACUAAAUCAGUAAGACUGUCAUGAUAUGGAACAAUUUCAGAACUGUAGAUUUCCCUUCCUCCUUUGAGCUUGUUGUGUUAAUUCCAAAAACUGGAGUUGCAAAACUAAAUUAUACUAUAUUUGUCUUAGGUCUUAGGUAUGAUUAAGGCACAAUCCUUCUUACCAGCUCUUAUAUCGUUAUAUCGGCCUAGAGCACCAUAGGCAAGCAGAACAAUAUCUUUUGACCUACAGUAACCCAGUAGCUUGCUCUGGUUCAGAUUAGAAUGGCGUCCCAUAGGGGGACAAGAUAGAAAGAUAUCAGAUUAUAGAAUAACCUUGUAUGACUAUGGGGAAGAAGAGACAUUUACAAUUGGGGUCACCAUAACUCAAGGAACUGUUGAUUAAAGGGUUGAAGCAUUAGGAAGUUUGAGAACUACUGAUUUAAGGUGACAGGUUUCUUUUUUUUUAAUUCUUACUUUUAUAUUUGUUAAUUCACAGCAUUUCCCUAGGCCUUAACAGGUAUCCUAUUUCACUUGCUAACUGUUUAAUGCCAGUGUGCUUUUCCCUGGAGAAACAUCUGUCACUGAGAAAAAUCCGUAGUUAGGUGGUCGUGACAUCAGCAACUAAACAAUUGUAAUCUCUGGUUAUAGAAUCAAUGUUUUCAAUAGUGUUCAUUUCCCUGAGCAUAGCAAAGGUCAAAGGUUAGAAAUGGCAUCUAAACAUUGUCUAUCAAGGAACUGGGGAUACAGCUUAGCUGGUAGGUAGAGUGUUUGGUAUAGUAUGCACAGAGACUUAGAUUUAAUCCCCAACGUUGCUUAUAUCAAGUAUGAUAGCAAGUGGUUAUUGUUCUAAAUCUUAGGAGAAGUAGAUAGAGAGAGGAGAAAUUCAAGGAUAUCCCCCACUACUUGGUGAACUGCAUAAGACCUUGUCUCAAAAAUAAGGAAGUGAAUAGACAAAUAAAUACUGGGACCUGUGGACUUUUUUCAGUUAUAAAAAGUAUAAACUAAGAAAAGAGAGGCUAUGGAAAUAGAAAAAUAGAUAGGACACUGGGAUCAGAGUCCCUCUAGAAUAAUUUUCUCUAAAAUCAGAUAAUUAAGUCAGGAGAAAAAAAUGAAUAGCAAAACUUCUCAGCUGUAGAUUCUAGAACUUACAAAAACGCCUCAAGAUAAUAAGUGCUAAUUAUAGCCCUUUCAAUGGUAGACAGAUUAUAGGUAAAUUCUGGUCCACCUAGAAAGUGUGACCCACUAAUUAAUUCUUGGGGCUCUGGAUUCUGUUAGGAACACUAAAUGAACAUAUUUACUGAGGAAUUUGUUUUCUAGGUCAUAAGAUCAAAUAUUUCAAUGAGCAAAUAUUUUCUUAACCUUAAUCAAUGUCUUUCAAAAGGCGACAUUUCAAUGACUUACAUUUGUCAUCCUUUCUCUGAUUGUAAGGUUUGGUUUUGUUUUAAUUUUUAGUCCAGCAUGUCAAGUGGACUGAAUCAUAGGAGAAACAUCUGUAGUAAAUGUCAUUUUUUUAUUGACUAAACAGUAUCAAGAUAGUUAGAUUUUCCACUAUUUCUAGACAUGGACUAAGUUUAUCAUUUGUUUUGUUGCAUAUUAUUUUACAAAUAUUAAAUCACAUACAUUUACCAACUUCCUGGCACUAUAUUAAUUCACUUUAAGCUACUUUUUCCCUCUGUGAGUUAUGUGGUAUUAUUAUUAUUGGUAUUUACAGAUAAGAAAAUUGAGUCAUGGGUUUUAAAGGACUACUCAAUGUAAACCAGCCAACUAAAACAAAAACUUCAAUAACAUUCCGAAUGAGCCUAGCCAGUUGACACACAUCUGUCAUCUCAUGACCCAGAUGAUUGAGAAAGAAUAAUCAAAAGCUUCAAACCAACAUAGUUAGGACCCAUUCAAAUACAAGAUUGUUCAGUCUGCUAGGGCAGUGCUCAUAUCAAAGAGACACCAUUUUAUUUAUUAAAAUCCUCUCUUGCUGACUACAAGUCACCUACAUUUGUGCAGUUUUCAAAUGCUAGAAGGCAAAAUUUUUCAAACAAAAACAGGUCAGUGGGCACAAUAAUACAUUUCCAUAGCCCUAGCUAUGGAAAUGUGGAGGCAAGAUAGAAUAUAUUCAAUGUUAGCCUUGGCCUAACAGCAAGUUCAAAGCCAGCCCCAUCUCAAAAAAAAAAAAAAAGAUGAACUUUAAAAUAAAAAUUUAAAAGAAGAGGUUAUUUUCAGGAUUAAUCUUUACACUGGAAGAUGUAAAUAAGUCACUGAAUAUAAACAACUGUGAACUAUGAACAAGCUGUAUUUGUUCCCAAUGGAAAAGGAAGGAAGCAAUGAAAGAAAGCCCUAAACUAAUAGGUUUAAAAAAUGAUAAACAAACACAUUUCUAAAGACUUUUCCAAAUACAUCAAUCUAGUGUGAUCAGGGUUUCUUGUCUUUCACAUAAAUUAUCUGGAGUAGUUCCCAUGACACAUGCAUUAAUGUUUUAUCAGUUUAUCUAGGUUGAAAUAAAUCAUCCAUGAGACUAAUGGCCAUGCUGACCUCUGAGGUAAUGUAAGGAUGACAAUGCCAAUUACUUAUCUUCAUUGCACUGGGAAGUGAAUAACACAACCAAAGGUCAAGAUAACCCAACUGAAGCUUUUUCAAUGGCUUUUCCAAGCAAGGUCAGUCCACCCCUAGUCUAUGACCAGUGGGGGAAAGCUGCAAAUAUUAGAGUCAAAGUCGUGCAACAUUAACAUAUUGUCCAAAUUUGGGGAUUUCUUAAACCCAAAUUUGAGACUUUUUCAGCAGAUCUGAUCAGAAUCUGACAACCGCAGAGCAAAAAUAUUCUGUCCAGUCUUGAAUUCUCCUUUGUAUAAUCUAUUAAUGUCAAGUCUGAUACGUACUUAGAUUUUAUUAGUCUAUAGAAUAAUGGAAGGAAGUUAUUAAUACUUGUGUAAAAAUCAGAUCUAAUAAUAAUAACAACCAUUCUCUGAGUUAUAUUUCACAAGGGUUUACAAACUUUUCACUAUUCACUCAAUAGGAAAUAGUUAAUAGUCCUUUCAUUUACAUGAAUGAAAGGGAAUAAUUCUGUCAUUUUUAAUAUAUACUGGACAAAAUGCAAGAAUUGAACAAGGCUUUAUGAAAUACUCAAGAAGCAAAUUUUUGUUCAUCUCUAACACUUAACGGAAGCAAAAAAAAUGGAUGUUCAGAAUCCAUUUAGAAUUGUGAAUCAUGAAUUUUGCUGGAAGAUGGGUGGCACUUGAGAAUAUCAUCCUGAGUGAGGUAACCCAGAACCAGAAAGGCAUAUAUGGUAUGUACUCACUUAUAAGCAGACAUUAGUCAUAAAGGUCAGGACAACCAUAAAACCAAAGAAAAACCAAAGAAAAACCCAAAGAAAGUGGGUAAUAAAUAGAAUUAUGUAUGUUUAACAAAUGUGUUUUUACUUUUUUGAUGGUAAUGUUAAAAUACAUAAUUUUAUUAUUUUUUUAAUUUUGAGAUCAUAAUAUAGGGUUAACAUUUCUCCCAUUUUUCCUCCCUCCAAACCCUCCUAUGUAACCCUUUCUUCUCCCUUUCAACUCCUUCAUUAAUUGUCAUUAAGUGAAAUUUAUGUAUAGCACUUGAACACUAUAUCACAUGUAUCUGCAUAUACAUAUUUUCUUCAAUAUAAUCUGCUCAGUCUGUAUAAUGUUAAUCCUAUGUAAAUUUUCAGGACUGAACAUUUGGUCAUGGAUAACCAGUGAGUGUGUUCUUCCCUGGACAGGACUAUUUCUCACACUCUCAAUACUCUUUACUUGCCUGUAGGGUUUGUAUGCAGCAAAGGGAACAGUAGAAUGAAGAAAGAACAGGUGAGAAGAAAAUCCUUGACAACCGCCCAUCUAUUCGGUUUCACUUUGUUGGCUUGAUUUAAAUAUUUUUUAAGGAACAAAGCUCCCAGGGAUUCCUGAGAUACACAUCUGGAUUGACGCGGAAUUCCUUAAAUCUCUUCCUUCAGUGGAGCUCCUCCUGUUCAACGAAUUCUACAAAAACAGAACUGAAUCCUUGACAAUUCCAUCAAAACAGAUCAAGCAGGAAAGCAGGCCAUCUCCUGAGACUCAGGCAGCUGCAGGCAGGCAGACCUUGAUGCUGUGACAAUGAAGACCCUUGUGCUGUCUUGCUUUCUGACCAGAGGAUAACUUACUGCUGCCCCUGGCUGCAUCGAGAUAGAGGAUCCAGAGGAAGGAGCCACCACCCAAGACACGCUGAGGGACAGACAGAUUGUGAACCUGGCCUGUGAGCCUCUCUGCCACUUGCUUCUGAGUCAGGUACCUCAUGCGUGUGCUGUGGACUGAUUCUUGUCAUUGUACUGAAUAAACCUUGAGACAAAAAAAAAAAAG
rnacentral:sRNA from 1 species